rnacentral:miRNA from 1 species
ACAAGUGGCAAAAAAUUCGGUGGU